AACACUACGUGGGGGUUUGAUCCAGUUGCAUUGAUGAUGCAGAGAUUCAAAAUUUUAUUAUUUUUAGUGUUU
rnacentral:tRNA from 1 species